rnacentral:rRNA from 1 species
CCUACGGGAGGCUGCAGUAGGGAAUCUUCCACAAUGGGCGAAAGCCUGAUGGAGCAACGCCGCGUGGGUGAAGAAGGUCUUCGGAUCGUAAAACCCUGUUGUUAGAGAAGAAAGUGCGUGAGAGUAACUGUUCACGUUUCGACGGUAUCUAACCAGAAAGCCACGGCUAACUACGUGCCAGCAGCCGCGGUAAUACGUAGGUGGCAAGCGUUAUCCGGAUUUAUUGGGCGUAAAGGGAACGCAGGCGGUCUUUUAAGUCUGAUGUGAAAGCCUUCGGCUUAACCGGAGUAGUGCAUUGGAAACUGGGAGACGUGAGUGCAGAAGAGGAGAGUGGAACUCCAUGUGUAGCGGUGAAAUGCGUAGAUAUAUGGAAGAACACCAGUGGCGAAAGCGGCUCUCUGGUCUGUAACUGACGCUGAGGUUCGAAAGCGUGGGUAGCAAACAGGAUGAGAUACCCUGGUAGUC